CAGAGUUUUCUAAACUCCCAACCCUAUGUGAACUUACCUUUGUUGCCUCGGCGGGGCCUACCCGGUACCCCUCCCUUUUGGGAGAGACUACCCUGUAGCCCGCCGGUGGAUUUUCAAACUCUUGUUAUUAUAAUGAUAUCUUGAGCGUCUUAUUUUAAUAAGUCA
rnacentral:misc_RNA from 1 species